AUCCAUAAACACAAAGUUUACAGUAUUAAAGUAUAUUUGUGUGUUACUAUUCUAUUGCUGCCUUUUGAAGAAGGCUUUAUAACUGGCUGAUAAAUAAAUUAUUAAUUGUUUAUGCAAGAACCCUUGAGUGUAGAAGUUUAUUUGAAUACCUGUAACUGUGAAUUUGUGUGUAACUCCACUACAGCUCACAUUUCCCCUCUUGAAAUAACCCUGGCUGCUCAACACGCGACCAAAACUGUGUAGUAAAAGCUUAUACCAAAAGUUGGGUUGCCUAUACCUGUAGUCAUAGUUGUUUGUAGUGUUGCCAGAGGGUACUGCAAACAAACCUGGCUUAACAACCAGGGGUAAUGAUGAAUCAGGGUUUGAUUCCUGAAAGGAAUCCUGAGAAACGGCUACCACAUCAAAGGAAGGCAGCAGGUGUGCAAAUUACCCCCUCCCGACUUGGGGGGGAAAACAAUACAGGACUCUUUCGAGGCCCUGUAAUUUGAAUGAGUACACUUUAAAUACUUUAAUGAGGAUCCAUUGGAGGGCAAGUCUGGUGCCAGCAGCUGUGGUAAUUCCAGCUCCAAUAGCGUAUAUUAAUGUUGCUGCAGUUAAAAAGCUUGUAGUUGGAUCUUGGGAUCGAGCUUGCGAUCUGCCACGAGACGAGCUACCGUCUGUCCCAGCCCUUGCCUCUUGGUGUCCCCUUGAUGCUCUUGAUUAAGUGUCCAGUGGGCCAAAGCGUUUAACUUGAAAAAAUUAGUGUUCAAAGCAGGCCGGUCGAAUGAAUACUUCAGCUAGGGAUAAUGGAAUAGGACUCUGGUUCUAUUUUGUUGGUUUUCGGAACUCGGGCCAUGAUUAAGAGGGGCAGCCGGGGGCAUUGGUAUUGAGCCGCUAGAGGUGAAAUUCUUGGACCGGCGCAAGAUGAACCAAUAUUUGUCAAUAUUGUUUUCAUUAAUCAAGAAACAAAUUCGGAGGUUUGAAGACGAUCAGAUACUGUCGUAUUUCCAAUCAUAAACGCUGCUGACUAGCGAUCCGGCAGUGUUAUUCCCAUGACCCGCUGAGCCACUUCCGGGAAACUAAAGUCUCAACAUGGGAAACCUCGCCCGGGCACAGAAAGGAUUGACAGAUUGAUAGCUCUUUCUCGAUUCUUUGGGUGGUGGUGCAUGGCCGCUUUUAGUUGGUGGAGCGAUUUGUCUAGUUAAUUCCGAUAACCAACGAGACUCCUCUAUUCUCACUAGUUACGCGACCCCCAGCAGUCGGUGCUCAACUUCUUAGAGGGACAAGUGGCGUUCAGCCACACAAGAUCAAGCAAUAACCCGUCUUUGAUUCCCUUAGAUGACCGGGGCUGCACACGUGCUACACUGAACGGAUCAGCGUGUGUCCACCCUUCACCGACAGGUGCGGGUAACUCACUAAACCCUGUUUGUGAUAGGGAUUGAGGAUUGCAAAUAUUUCCCAUGAACGAGGAAUUUCCAGUAAGUGCGGGUCAUAAGCUCAUGUUGAUUAAGUCCCUGUCCUUUGUACAUACCGCCCUUUGCUACUACCAAUUGGAUGGUUUAGUGAGGUCCAUGGACCGGCAGAGCACCAAGAAGACGAUCAAACUUGAAAAGCUAGAGGAAGUAAAUGUUGUAACAAGGUUUCCUUAGGUGAACCUGCAGAAGGAUCAUUAACAGCGUAGCAGCCGGAGGGAGAGCCAUGGGCCCGACCUUGGUUGCGUCCCGGACGCGCACAUCCACAGCACAGGGCACCCCUGAUGCUACGGUCCAGCUAGCAGAGCAGUCCGCGGCUGGAGCACGUGGGGUCCUGGCACCAGGGAGUGGGAUUGCCUUCCACCAGAGGGGGGGUCCAUGACCCAGCAGACGGACCGGAACAUCUGGCAGGGUUGGGUUAACCUGCCGGGGACAUUCCCAAUCACACACCGGAGAGUGAAGUGGGGCUGGGCACGCGCAGCGGCUGGACGAGGCAUCUGCGCCCGGGGGGUGGUGCCGACUCUGGACAUGAUCCAGGCCCUUCCUAUGGAUCACCCCAGCUACUGUGGUCGCCUCUCUCUGUUCCCUCCCGGGGUUCGGGGCCUGCAUUCUCCCUCAGCCAACGCCUAGCAGCUGAUUUAGAAGUAGUUCAGACCAGGGGAAUAUGACUGUUUAAUGAAAACAAAGCAUGCGAAGGCUUUCGUGGGUGUUGACAUGAUAAGAGUUCUGCCCAGCGCUCUGAAUGUCAAAGUGAAGAAAUUCAAUGAAGGUGGGUAAACCGCGGGAGUAACUAUGACUCUCUUCAGGUAGCCAAAAGCCUCGUCAUCAAAUUAGUGAUGCGCCAUGAAUGGAUGAACAAGAUUCCCACUGACCCUACCUACUAUCUAGCAAAACUACAGCCAAGGGAACAGGCUUGGCAGAAUCAGUGGGGAAAUACAACCAUGUUGAUCUUGACUCUAGUCUGGCACUCUGAAGAGAAAUGAGAAGUGUAGGAUAAGUGGGAGGCCCUCAGGCUGUCAGUGAAACACCAGUACUCUUAUAGUUUGUUCACUUAGCCGGUGAGGCGCAAGCAUGCCCCGCCGGACUUUCACUUCUGGCUCCAAUCACCGGCUCCCACCAGGAACGGCCCGCACUAGGGUCAGUGGCAGGUGGGAGUUUGACUGGGGCGUGGUAACUGUCAAACGAUAACGCAGGUGUCCUAAGGCGAGCUCAGAAGGGGGCGAGAGCAGAAGGGCAAACGCUCAUUUGAUCUCGAUUUUCAGUAUGAAUGCAGUCUGUGAAAGCAGGGCCUCAUGAUCCUUUGGACAUUUUGGGUUUCAAGCAGGAAGUGUCUGAAAAGUUACAACAGGGAUAACUGGCUUGUGGCGGCCAAGCGUUCAUAGCGACAUCGCUUUUUGGUCCUUCGAUGUCGGCUCUUCUUUUCAUUGUGAAGCAGAAUUCACGAAGAGUUGGAUUGUUCACCCACUAAUAGGGAACGUGAACUGGGUUUAGACGUCGUGAAACAGGUUUGUUUUACCCUACUCAUGAUGUGUUGUUGCAAUAGUAAUCCUGCUCAGUAUGAGAGGAACUGCAGGUUCAGACAUUUGGUAUAUGUGCUUGGCUGAGGAGCCAAUGAGCUGAAGCUACCAUCUGUGGGAUUAUGACUGAACUUCUUUAAACUGUAACAAUAUUGCAGCACUGUGGAUCCUCAGUUGGCCUAGGAUAGCCGGCCUCUGGGCCAGUGUGCAGAGCCACUUGCCUCGGGUCUCGAGCGUGGACAGAAGGGGGCCACCUCUCUCGCCCGUAGUGCACUGCAUGUUGUUGGGGAACCUGGUGCUAAAUCAUUCGUAGAUUACCUGAUUCUGGUCAGGGUGUCAGGAUU
rnacentral:rRNA from 1 species